UUGUAGGAAGCGCUAGUAAGGGAACAGCAUUUGGUUGGUCACAUGCAAGCCACAAUGCGAGAGGUGCCGAUAUUUCGAUUACGCGAUCAAAAAUUAAAAGUCUAGAACCAUGCACACUUCCCCAUGCAACUACUUCCCCAGCAUCGUGAGUCAUGACACCACGUAUUCACGUAUAGUGUAAUGUGAAAUGAUAUGCAGGAAUGAAAAAGAUGCCAACAUACCUGUAAUCCAGUGUCCCGUAAGUUUGAUUCGAUUUUCUGGCAGCUACCAUGAAGAGCAAAUGCACGAUUCACAAGUUUCGUUUCGCCAUUUUCAUUGCUGUUAAUUUCGCAAGAUCCCACGUGACCUCCUUUGGAUCAGUGAAAAGUGAAAAUUACUCGCGUCGUGAACAUAUAUGUUCAUCUCAGCGCAAAUCACGUUUUGCAUGCUAUAGCAGGAAGGGGGAUCAAUACUCUUCCUUUCGUGUUUUGAUAUCUUGUUGUUUUGCUACUCUCACUUCGGAGUUCGGAUGGUGUCUAGCAACGUUGGGUACCUCGUUUCUUGUGUGAGCAAGUGGUUGCUGUUUACGACGUGUUCAUCAUAUAUCGAUUUGUAGCGCUGUAAUGUGCAAAUUAGCGGACUUUAUAGCGGCUCUCUAUUUUCCGUCGUUGUCUUUCGAGCAGCGCCUGUUGUUGCGGUAAAAAUCGAGUUGAAUGAAUCGCCACAGCCCCAACGUAUAUCGCGCAGUGUUGACCAAGACCAAGUCAAGCAGGAAUUCUGGCAUGGUAUGUGGCUGCACGGAGGAUUCCGAAAAAGAAAAACAACAACAUGGCUAAUAGGAUGUUGCUGCCCAGGGAGUCCUGGCGAAGAGGUUUACUCAUUCCAGAAGCAAGAAUUGUAUCAUUGUAAGGCGAAUGGAAAUAAACUGACAUCGACUGAGA